AGAGUUUGAUCAUGGCUCAGAAUCAACGCUGGCGGCGUGCCUAACACAUGCAAGUCGAACGCGAAAGUCCCGCAAGGGAUGAGUAGAGUGGCAAACGGGUGAGUAACACGUGGGUGACCUGCCUUCGAGCGGGGGAUAACGUCCCGAAAGGGACGCUAAUACCGCAUGACAUCCUGCCUUUGAAGAGGUGGAGAUCAAAGCUGGGGAUCGCAAGACCUAGCACUCGAAGAGGGGCCCGCGCCUGAUUAGCUAGUUGGUGGGGUAACGGCUCACCAAGGCAACGAUCAGUAGCCGGCCUGAGAGGGCGGACGGCCACACUGGGACUGAGACACGGCCCAGACUCCUACGGGAGGCAGCAGUGGGGAAUUGUUCGCAAUGGGCGCAAGCCUGACGACGCAACGCCGCGUGGAGGACGAAGACCUUCGGGUCGUAAACUCCUUUCGAUCGAGACGAACGGUCUCCGGGUGAACAAUCCGGAGGAGUGACGGUACCGAGAGAAGAAGCCCCGGCUAACUCCGUGCCAGCAGCCGCGGUAAUACGGGGGGGGCAAGCGUUGUUCGGAAUUACUGGGCGUAAAGGGCUCGUAGGUGGCCAACUAAGUCAGACGUGAAAUCCCUCAGCUUAACUGGGGAACUGCGUCUGAUACUGGAUGGCUUGAGAUUGGGAGAGGGAUGCGGAAUUCCAGGUGUAGCGGUGAAAUGCGUAGAUAUCUGGAGGAACACCGGUGGCGAAGGCGGCAUCCUGGACCAACACUGACACUGAGGAGCGAAAGCCAGGGGAGCAAACGGGAUUAGAUACCCCCGUAGUCC
rnacentral:rRNA from 1 species